GGAUUGUAGCUCAUCGGUAGAGCGCUUGCCUAGCAUGUGUGGGACCCGGGUUCGAUCCUCAGCACCA
rnacentral:tRNA from 1 species